AGACUCCAGCAGCCGGGGUGUACUUUGGGGCAAAGGGGCGGCGGUUGUGACAACUUGAAAACUGCAAACGGAAUGCUAACACUUUGCCUGCGCAAAGGCGCUUGAAAGGCUUCUGGUUUAUUAUUAUUCUUUGAAAAACAUGCAGCGUUCGGCAUAACUAAACAGGUAUCUUGUGACCCCUUGGGAAUGUCCGCUCAUUCAUUGAACAAGUAUUUGUUUAUCUAGGAUCUUUUGCAUGUCAGGCACUGUGCUAAACCCUGGAGAUACAAUCGCAACUUAAAUCGACAUGAUAGCUGCCUUCAUGGGCAAACAGACCAUUGAACAUCUGACUGAUAACUGUCCUGGACCAACCUACAGCUAAGAAUUCAGGGCUGAUUCAUCUUAAGAAAGUACUUUUCAUUGCAAGAACUCUUAGCUUUUCUUCUUCAUCUUACUUAGGAAAGUCUAGUUUGUGAUUGGUUGUCCUUAGGUUUCUAUUUCUCAAUCUAAGGCAAUAUAGGCUUAAGUUUUGGUUUACUUAAGUGAGCUACUAAGGCAUUAAUGUCAUCUGAGUCUAAUGGCCCCUUGUUUUAUAAGCUAACACUACCCAUUUUCCUAAUUAGUUGCUAAUAUUACCGGAAGCCAUAUAGUAUGUAAUAAUAAACUGAUAAUGUUA